GCUUGUCUCAAAGAUUAAGCCAUGCAUGUCUUAGUGUAAAUAACUCUUAUGAAACUGCGAAUGGCUCAUUAAAUCAGUUAUCAAAUACGUGAUGGUCGCCUACUACAUGGAUAACCGUAGUAAUUCUAGAGCUAAUACAUGCACCCAUGCCCGACUUUGUGGAAGGGUUGUGUUUAUUAGUUACAGAACCAACCCAGGCUCUGCCUGGUCUUGUGGUGAUUCAUAAUAACCGAACGAAUCGUAUGGCAUCAGCUGGCGAUGAAUCAUUCAAGUUUCUGACCUAUCAGCUUCCGACGGUAGGGUAUUGGCCUACCGUGGCAAUGACGGGUAACGGAGAAUUAGGGUUCGAUUCCGGAGAGGGAGCCUGAGAAACGGCUACCACAUCUAAGGAAGGCAGCAGG
rnacentral:rRNA from 1 species